rnacentral:lncRNA from 1 species
GGUUUCCCAUAAAACUUGACCUAAAAAUAAAAUAAGUAGCAAAGACAAUGAAAGAGAGUUUGACAUAUCUUACCAGAAAAAACAGACCAAAGGGUAAGUUGAAAGGGCUCUUUCACCGGCCAGGCCACCUAAAGCCAACAAUCCCCCAAAAAGCAAUUGCUUAGGCUUCGGCUUUGGCCUUGGCCUUGGUCCCUCGAAAAAAGUUUAUUCACCCGCAUGCAUAAAAAUCCCCUUAGUCUGCCUCUCUUUCAUUCAUCUUCCUAGUUCCUCCCCGUUCAAGGCAGCUCAGCUGGGUCCCUCUUUUAUAACCCCAUCUCCAUGUCCUCUCUCAAACUUCAUACUUCAUACCUGUUAUUCUCUCUUUGAAGCCACCAGACUUUUUCUUUUGGUGGGGUUGGGGGUGGGCCUCAAAGGGAAAAGAUUAAGAAUAUGGCUCCAGAUAACAAGCAGUUCUCAGCUUUCUCAACCACCCAUUUCUCUAUAAUGGGGACUGAUGAGACCAGAUUACCCUUCCAUUCAUAUUUCCCUUUGUAAUCCACUUGGAUACAACCAACAUUAAAGCUUCAAGACUGCAAUCUUAUGUAAACUCUUUCUCUUUCUUUGUCUAUCUCAGUACACACCAGUUACGAUAACAUUGCUUCAUAGACUAGAAAAACAAAAUAGGCAGACAGGAUGGAGCCAGGCAAUUGUAAAAGUUAUGGUUUUCAGUGCUUAGUUUUAGAUUAUUCUCAUCAUCAUAUUUAUAUACUUCUUUUGGUUAAAUGAUCUAUGUUAAGCAGUCCUAUAGUUUCUAAGAAAAAGGAAAAGCAACAAACAACUUACACGAAGAAGAACCCAUCUCCUUAUCUUUGUAUCCCUGCAAGAGAAUCUGGCUUUUAAUUCUCAUGCUAUUCAUACGAGGAUGAUGAUGGAUGAUUCAUGGUAUUGAUGUUGCAUUUUUCUUCCUUUCUUUUCAAUAGAUUCUAUUUAUUUUCAUACAUAUAAUAUAUGAAAGACCCUUUUCUAUAUCUUGCUCUCUAGUUUUUUUUAAAGCUAUUUUCUGUUUACAUUCCCCUUCUUUUUUAAGUAGCUUUUCAUAUGUUGAUGACAAGAUAUAAGAUAUUCCUAUAUAUAAUUCUGCCAACUGCAUUCUUCAAUAUAUUCAGGGCUAAGAUUUUUCUAUGUUCCUCACAAAAUUAAUUCGGUAGCUCUUUAGUGUCAAAGCCUGGGGCUUCUUAGUUUAUUACACUUCCACUUCCACUUCCACUUCCACUUCCACUUCCACUGAUUUUUUUUUCCUUCUUUUUAUUUAAAAAAUUAUUAGAGUUUUGCUAGCUUGUUCUUCUUGUGUUAAAUGGAGAAGCUCGAUCGAGUUUGAAUAAUAUUUGAAGUUAAAUUAGAGUUCAAAGUUAAUAAUAAAAGAUUUUUUUGAUAUUUAUAUUUAGGAUUCCUAAUUAUUAUUUUUAGUAAUAUCGUCUGUAACAAGGAAGGAUAGAUUAAAAGAGUAGUAAAGGUACGUUUGGUUUACUGUAAUAGAAUAGGACUAUAAUUGAAUAGAGCUGUAAUGGAAUAAAGCUGUAAUGGAAUAGAACUGUAAUCAGUAAUUCAACUGUUUGGUUGAAUAGAAUGGAAUAGAGUGGUAAUAGAAUUCUUGUGUUUGGUUGAAUGGGAUAGAUGUUCUAAUAGUAUAAGGAAAAUGGCAUAAAUGACCAAAGUAUCCUUAACAGAAUUUUUGUAAGUAGAUGAUUAUUGUUAUUAAAUUUUAAUAAUAUUAUUGUUAAAUAUAUUUUAAUAAAAAUAAAAAUAAAUAAUUUAAUCAUAUUUUAACAUAAUUAUUAUUAAAUACAAUUUUAUAAAAUAAUAUAUAAUUUAAUAACAUUCUUAAUAUAAUUAUUAAUAAUAUAUAAUAAUAAUUUUAAUAUAAAAUUAUUAUUAAAAAUAUCUCAAUGCAUCAUAUAUUUACUUUAAUCUAGCCUCUCACCUAUUCUCUUAAGUCACAAUCGCCAAUAUAAAAAUGUGUUUAACAUACAAUAUGAUAAUCCUCUAAUAACAUUUUAUUUUAAUAGUCAGUUUUAAUAGAAAACAUAUUUUUUUAUUUUUUAUUUUAUUUUAUUCUUUAUAAUAACAUGAUAACAAAAAUUAAUUAUAAGGUAUACUUUUUAAUAAAUUAAUUAUUUAUAGCAAUCUUUUGGUGAAAUAAAAAUCUUCAAAUUUUACAUAAAAAUUACUAAAUUUUAAUAACAUUAGUUCUUUUCUUUUCAUAUGCAAAAUAAAAAAUCAACUUUCUCAGAUAAAAUAGCAUCAUCCAAGGCUGAUUGAUAAAAAUUGUCCUUUACAGUCUCAGCUCUUAGAUCAACAAUGGUUUUAAAUCCUCUGUCAAUCAACCACUUCAGACCUUCCUCUGUCACUUGACCACCCCUCCAAAAUUCUAUUUCACAAUAAGCCUCAACUUCUGGAAUAUCCCCAGGAACUGGACCAAUCCACUGUAAUUGUGAUACAUCAUGAGACUGGGCAGUCUUCUAAUCCAAAUAAAGCAGUGUCAGAUGAUGCAAGAAAAGAGAAUCCAAUUUCUUCUCUAUGGAAAAUAGACAUUAAACAAAGCUAACAAAAAUAGUCUACAAUUAGAAGGGGGGAAGAGCAACAAUGUAACUCAAAUGUAUUGAUACAAAUUAUUGGAAUCAAAAGACAGAAACAAGGCACCAACAAGAGUUGGAUGCAAUGGUAAGGUACAUUGCACUCCCAAGGACCUUGGAGAGGACAUUGUUGGGAGGGGCAGCCAUAAACCCCAAACAUAGACUGUUAAAUGGACAUCAAGGAUAAACAAAAAAGAUAGAGACAAGGCAUUAAAAAAGCUUAGAGAAGGAUAAUAUUGACCAAUUGUUGUUGUUGUUUCAUUGUGCUCCGCAGAUAUGCAUAAAGAAUGUGGUUAAUUCACUGGAGGACAAGGACUGGAUGUCACAACAGAAUAUCAAGAAUCAUUGUAUUUAAUCCAGCAUGGGUUUAGUAAAAUGCUUGAGAGAACCAAGAGACCUUUCUUCCUUUUUUAAAGCUACUUCCAACUCCUUUGUUCAUACCAAAUAGACCUUAAUGGCAUAUUCAGGAACAAAUUUACCAGUGCGUAUUUUAACAGAAACAAUGACAAGGAUCAUAAUCGGCUAAUUCAGUGAAAGUAAAAAAUCACACCAUGUUAGCAGCAAUAGGAAUGACUAGGCUUUUCUUACUUAGGUAAAGAAAUGAAAAAUUAAUACCUGUGCGAUUGAUGCAGAACCAAGAGGAUUUACAACAAAAUUUUAAAAAAUUUCACCGAUGCUUCGACCAAACUCCUCUAAAACAAGUUGAAAAGCAUCAAAUGUCUUAACAUAUAUAGAAAACAACAUGAAACAAAUAAGCACAUUUCUAUUAAAUUAUGACACCCUCCCCUUAUAGAGUUCUUUAAUGAAGUAAUUCAAUAACUCAUACCAUACAAAAUAACCAGUUCUAUCAUUUGGAUAAGGAUAAAUGCGGUGUCACUCUCUGCAUAAAUAUGGCUUAUAUUCAUUUCAUUAAUAACGACGGAAUCAUAAUUGCAGAAUUAGUGGAUUCAAUUGAAGAUUGACAAUGUAUGCCAAACAAAAUGCCAAAUGCAGAAUGCCUUCAGCAGAGAAAGUCUGGGUUGCUUCUACCAUAAUUAGUAUAUUAUCUUAUAGUAUGUUGUAUUUAAAAAAGGAAGAUAAACCAUAGCAGUGCAUAGAUCCAUGUUAUACUGAAUCUAAGCAUAAAAGUCAAUUUUCUAGGUACUGAAAAUCCAGUAACUUGUCCAUUCUACUAAGUUCUUCAUCUCUGCUCAAUUCAACAAAUAUAAUAUGGCUUCAUACAAUUUACC